rnacentral:rRNA from 1 species
AUUGAACGCUGGCGGCAGGCCUAACACAUGCAAGUCGAGCGAGCGGCGGACGGGUGAGUAAUGUAUGGGGAUCUGCCUGAUGGAGGGGGAUAACUACUGGAAACGGUAGCUAAUACCGCAUACCAUCAGAUGAACCCAUAUGGGAUUAGCUGGUAGGUAAGGUCACGGCUUACCUAGGCGACGAUCCCUAGCUGGUCUGAGAGGAUGAUCAGCCACACUGGGACUGCGACACGGCCCCGACUCCUACGGGAGGCAGCAGUGGGGAAUAUUGAACAAUGUGCGCAAGCCUGAUGCAGCCAUGCCGCGUGUAUGAAGAAGGCCUUCGGGUUGUAAAGUACUUUUAGUCGGGAGGCGUUACCGACAGAAGAAGCACCGGCUAACUCCGUGCCAGCAGCCGCGGUAAUAC